UCUAUGAAUAUUAUAAGUAUAAAUAUAAUUAAGUACAAGUAACAUACAUACAUUCCAGAUUUACGAGGGGUGAAAUAGUGAAUGAAACUUGAAUUUUCUCUCAAGUCAUGGAUUUUUUUUUUUUGAAAAUAAUCGAUAUAGUCAUAAUAAUGCAUAAUCGAUAAUGAUAUUUUUUUUCUUUGUCGCCACUACUUAGCAGGUACUUAGUGAGUGAGUGAAUUGCGGUGUGUUGAUUCACUCUUCGUCUUAGUGGCUAUUAAUAUUAUUUCUUAAUUAUCAAUAUUAGAAAAGAUAUAAUCUUUCUGAGAAGCUCCUAUGGAAAGGAUUCUUCAUUAUGUACAUGUUGCAUACAACUACUAUACAUACCAAAAGUAGGGUCUUAGAGCUAGAGCGUGUCUGCUUUAUUAUUAAUCUAAGAUGGAUCGGUUGAAUCCCUCAUCCUUCACAAAAUGUUUAUAUUUACAACAUAAACAAUCAAAGUUCAAUAAAAAAAUAACAUUAAAUGCUAAUAAAUUAAUUAUUUAAAACCAUAGAUAAGUAUAGAUUGCUUGAGAGCGCUGAUGUCGCGUAAGUUCACGUCAACUGUUGUUCUUUCCCGCUGUAAGAUGUACUGAAUACUUAUCCACAUGUAUAUUUUUCGAAAAUCAAGAAAAAAACGAGGAGAAUAAUAAAAAAAUAUAUAUAUAGCAUAAAUCCUCCAACAACAGCUGACGUCAAUUUAAGUCGAUAACAACCUUUUCAAGAAAAACUUCGUUGCUUGAUAUCUUUUCUAUCACUAUGAGUAUGUUAAUUUUUUUUAAACAUGCUUAAAUCAUCGAUUAAUGAUGGAUCGGUUCAAUUAAGAGGCUACAUAAUAUCCAGGAUUAAUCUAUAAUCUUCUGCAAAAUGGAAUAAACAUAAACAAUCAAAGUUCAAUAAAAAAAUAUAAUUAAAUCCUAAUGAAUUAAUUAUUUAGCAACUUGUUUUACCAUUGUUUAAUGAUGGAUCGGUCCAAGACCAAUCAUAUUUACAACAUAAACAAUCAAAGUUCAAUAAAAAUAUAUAAUUAAA
rnacentral:lncRNA from 1 species